AGAUUGAACGCUGGCGGCAUGCUUUACACAUGCAAGUCGAACGGCAGCACGGGGGCAACCCUGGUGGCGAGUGGCGAACGGGUGAGUAAUGCAUCGGAACGUGCCUUGUGAUGGGGGAUAACUUACCGAAAGGUAGGCUAAUACCGCAUAAGCCCUGAGGGGAAGCGGGGAUCGCGAAGACCUCGCGUCACUGGAGCGGCCGAUGUCCGAUUAGCUAGUUGGUGGGUAAAGGCCUACCAAGGCGACGAUCGGUAGCUGGUCUGAGAGGAUGAUCAGCCACACUGGGACUGAGACACGGCCCAGACUCCGUACGGGAGCAGCAGUGGGGAAUUUUGGACAAUGGGGGCAACCCUGAUCCAGCCAUGCCGCGUGAGUGAAGAGGCCUUCGGUUGUAAAGUCUCUUCGGAGGGACGAAAAGCCGU
rnacentral:rRNA from 1 species